rnacentral:rRNA from 1 species
GACGAACGCUGGCGGCGUGCUUAACACAUGCAAGUCGAACGCUCUCGACCUUCGGGUCACAUGAGAGAGUGGCGAACGGGUGAGUAACACGUGAGAAACCUGCCCCAAAGUCGGGAAUAACUCGAGGAAACUCGUGCUAAUACCGGAUGCCCUCUAAGAACCUAGUGGUUCAUUGAGGAAAGAUUUAUCGCUUUGGGAGGGUCUCGCGGCCUAUCAGCUUGUUGGUGAGGUAACGGCUCACCAAGGCUCUGACGGGUAGCUAGUCUGAGAGGACGAAUAGCCACACUGGAACUGAGACACGGUCCAGACUCCUACGGGAGGCAGCAGUGGGGAAUCUUGCACAAUGGGCGAAAGCCUGAUGCAGCGACGCCGCGUGGGGGAUGAAGGCCUUAGGGUCGUAAACCCCUUUCAGUAGGGACGAAAUUGACGGUACCUACAGAAGAAGCCCCGGCCAACUACG